rnacentral:misc_RNA from 1 species
UACGUAGGGGGCAAGCGUUGUCCGGAAUUAUUGGGCGUAAAGCGCGCGCAGGCGGUUCUAUAAGUCUGAUGUGAAGGACCACGGCUCAACCGUGGAGGGUCAUUGGAAACUGGGGAACUUGAGGACAGAAGAGGAGAGUGGAAUUCCACGUGUAGCGGUGAAAUGCGUAGAUAUGUGGAGGAACACCAGUGGCGAAGGCGACUCUCUGGUCUGUAACUGACGCUGAGGCGCGAAAGCGUGGGGAGCAAACAGG